rnacentral:rRNA from 1 species
GACGAACGCUGGCGGCGUGCUUAACACAUGCAAGUCGAACGGUGAACGAGGGAGCUUGCUUCCUCCGGAUCAGUGGCGAACGGGUGAGUAACACGUGAGCAAUCUGCCCCGAACUCUGGGAUAAGCGCUGGAAACGGCGUCUAAUACCGGAUACGACGCGCGAAGGCAUCUUCUGCGCGUGGAAAGAAUUUCGGUUCGGGAUGAGCUCGCGGCCUAUCAGCUAGUUGGUGAGGUAACGGCUCACCAAGGCGACGACGGGUAGCCGGCCUGAGAGGGUGACAGGCCACACUGGGACUGAGACACGGCCCAGACUCCUACGGGAGGCAGCAGUGGGGAAUAUUGCACAAUGGGCGAAAGCCUGAUGCAGCAACGCCGCGUGAGGGACGACGGCCUUCGGGUUGUAAACCUCUUUUAGUAGGGAAGAAGCGAAAGUGACGGUACCUGCAGAAAAAGCACCGGCUAACUACGUGCCAGCCGCCGCAGUAACAC